AUCCUUUUCUUUCCUUUCCCUUCCCACCCAGGCAACGCGACCUUCCUCCCUCUCGUUGCCUCUCCUCCCAAUCUUCUCCGCCGCCGCCCCUUGGCAGCAAGACCGCAAAGGCGCGGUGGGCGGUGCCCCUCCCCUGCUGAUCCGCCGGUCGGGUUCUCGGGCAAGGGGGGUAUGGUCGGUAGCAGCGCCAGGGUCGGCUGGUCGUCGGGCGGCAAGGGCGUCGCCAAGCAGUACUACCUCCAGGGCAGGAACCCGGAGGCCGUGCCCCCGGACGACGGCCGCCUCACCAGAGGAAGCUACUGGAGGAGGCCGACGAGGGCACCUUGGCCCCAUCUUUGCAGCAGCGGCCCAGCGCGGCAGCUCCAGCUGCAGAUCGUCGGCCCGGCGUGGCGGCUCCCGCUGCAGCUCGGAGGACCGGCGGGUCCCGUAGCUUCCGCUGCAACUCGGAGCUGCAGAUGGUGCGCUCGUUGCUGGUAAAAACUAAGUUCUUCCAGUGAUUCAUGGAUUUACAAUUUUUUUUGUUUGUGAUCUCAUUGCGUUGCCGGUAAUAGCCAUGGCUGGGGGACAGUGUUAAUAGUACUAAUUACCAUAGCAGCUCGUACUGCUUCAAUCAUGGAGUUGAUGGCUAGGUGGCCGGCGGUGGAUCUGCCUCAAGCAACAGAAUCAAUCUAUGAUUUGCGAAAAGGGACUUCAUGUUUGGACAUUCCCAACAUCCAACUAGGGACUCGGCUUCCUCAUCGGCAUCACGGCGGUCGUCCUCGACUUCGGCCUCAACGGGGACAGGCUCAAGAACAUCGUCGUGCACAAGGUCAUCGGCUUCUCCAUCCUGUCCAUGGCAUGCCUCCAGAAUGGCAUGUGCUGUAUGGGAACACAAGCCUGGAAAACUCCUCUCCCGAUGCGGAGCAGUCCACGGCGCUGUCAUCGUCGUCCUGACUCCUUGGCCGCUGCCGCUCCCAAGCGAGAAGACAAGCUUGGCUUGUGGCGGUGGCGGGUAUUACUGGAGUGGAGGCACAUUUUGUUUUCCGUUCUCGUCAUUCUUGGAAAGGCACAACAUGUACGAGGAGGAAGCCAUGAGAACUACCAGAGUGGAGAUGGGGAUGGGCGGCGAGCUGUGGGACGACUCGGCGCUGGUCGACUGCUUGGACCACGCCGUGCCACCUACAAGGCAUGCCGCAGGAAGGAUGGUAUGGAACUGACAGAUGAUCAGGUUAUGGUUGGUUGCGUCUAGAUGUGGUGAAUGGGUUUCCUGGAACCAAUAGAUGGAGCGGUGCUAGGACUGGAACCAAAUGAUAGUGAAGGACUACAACCAGUAUGUCAUGAGCAAUCUAGCACGAGGUUACUCAUGGAAAGAUACGGGUGUGAGCUAUGUUAAGGACAAACAAUUGCAACUGAAUAUGAAGAUAAAUAAACUUCAGCGAGACUGUGAAGGUACAACAAGAAGAGGCAACAAGCCAUGGAGGUUCUCAGUGCAAAUCAUACUUGCGAGCAAUCUACAGAUCUAGGCCUGAUGAUUAUCAGUUGUGUUGAGAUCCUUGUGUGCUAUGUAGUUGCAAAUGGUUGCAAAGACGGCUGGGAUAGACCAUGAAGAGUGGCUUGCGAAUGCGGAUCGCUGGGUGGCUAACUUCUUGGAGAAGUUCACGGGGUACUGCCUUGUGAUGGUAUAGUAUUUGCUUGGAAUCUUAACAGAGUACUCAAACAUGAAAUUGAGGACAAAGAGACAUACUGAUGCUGCUGUAAUAAUUACUCAGGAGACUGCCAUCAAGGACCGGAUACGGAGAGCGAAAUGCAGUGGGGUGCCAUUGGUAGUGGUGGUGGUGGUGUGAACAAACACCGAGCAAGUGACAAGUUGUUAUAGUUGUGCUUGUGUCAUGGAAUGUGAUGCUUGUGCGAGUUAAGUGGGUGAGUUAGCUGAGCCAAACCUUUGUAUUAGGGUCGCACUAACUGCCACCGUGUGGCAGAAAGGGAGACGCACCACACGUCUUUAAUGUAAAUAGAUUACCAUGUCAUCACAUGCAUGCAUGUAGGAAUUUUUUUGAAUUUUCAGUUUUUUAAAUGUUU